rnacentral:rRNA from 1 species
UACGUAGGGGGCGAGCGUUGUCCGGAAUUAUUGGGCGUAAAGAGCUUGUAGGUGGCUCGUUGCGUCGGGAGUGAAAACCUGCGGCUUAACCGCAGGCCUGCUUCCGAUACGGGCGAGCUAGAGUUCGGCAGGGGAGACUGGAAUUCCUGGUGUAGCGGUGGAAUGCGCAGAUAUCAGGAGGAACACCGGUGGCGAAGGCGGGUCUCUGGGCCGAUACUGACACUGAGAAGCGAAAGCGUGGGGAGCGAACAGG